AACAACAUAUUUUUUCUAGUGUUGCUCUGAGAACUAGCUCCUGUAAUGGGCUCAGCAGAUGCUCAGUUCCACCAGGUGUUUGCUAAUUGGUGCCGACUAGUCUGAAGGAGCUGAGUGGGGGAUGGCUGCUCUGUGUGGCAGAAGCUUGGAAACUGCAACUCCAAUCAGGAACUGCUUAGUCAAAGGCAGAGCUGGGUGCAACCAGGCGUUUUGUAUACAUGAAUGGUUGCCAUGGAGAUUAAAGGAUUUUUCAAACUUGCUAGGAAGAAUCAAGUUGACACUCCAGGAAUGUUUAUUGAUGAGG